rnacentral:ncRNA from 2 species
CAACCAUCCAGAGCGGUCGAGUGACUUGGCACCGUGACACCGCAGCAACCCCCCGACACGUCAUCCGGGUGAGGGUGCUAACGCCAGAACGAUGGAGG